rnacentral:rRNA from 1 species
GACGAAGGAUUCAAGCGUUGUCCGGAUUUACUGGGUUUAAAGGGUGCGUAGGCGGAAUAUUAAGUCAGUGGUGAAAGCUUCCCGCUCAACGGGAAAACUGCCAUUGAAACUGAUUUUCUUGAAUACAGUUGAGGUAGAUGGAAUAUAACAUGUAGCGGUGAAAUGCUUAGAUAUGUUGUAGAACACCAAUUGCGAAGGCAGUCUGCUAAGCUGUUAUUGACGCUGAGGCACGAAAGCGUGGGGAGCAAACAGG